rnacentral:rRNA from 1 species
UACGUAGGGUGCAAGCGUUAAUCGGAAUUACUGGGCGUAAAGCGUGCGCAGGCGGCUUUGCAAGACAGAUGUGAAAUCCCCGGGCUUAACCUGGGAACUGCAUUUGUGACUGCAUGGCUGGAGUGCGGCAGAGGGGGAUGGAAUUCCGCGUGUAGCAGUGAAAUGCGUAGAUAUGCGGAGGAACACCGAUGGCGAAGGCAUCCCCUGGGCCUGCACUGACGCUCAUGCACGAAAGCGUGGGGAGCAAACAGG